AUUGAACGCUGGCGGCAUGCCUUACACAUGCAAGUCGAACGGUAACAGGUCUUCGGAUGCUGACGAGUGGCGAACGGGUGAGUAAUACAUCGGAACGUGCCUAGUAGUGGGGGAUAACUACUCGAAAGAGUGGCUAAUACCGCAUGAGAUCUACGGAUGAAAGCAGGGGAUCGCAAGACCUUGUGCUACUAGAGCGGCCGAUGGCAGAUUAGGUAGUUGGUGGGAUAAAAGCUUACCAAGCCGACGAUCUGGAGCUGGUCUGAGAGGACGGUCAGCCACACUGGGACUGAGACACGGCCCAGACUCCUACGGGAGGCAGCAGUGGGGAAUUUUGGACAAUGGGCGCAAGCCUGAUCCAGCAAUGCCGCGUGCAGGAUGAAGGCCUUCGGGUUGUAAACUGCUUUUGUACGGAACGAAAAGCCCUGGGUUAAUACCCUGGGGUCAUGACGGUACCGUGAGAAUAAGCACCGGCUAACUACGUGCCAGCAGCCGCCGUAA
rnacentral:rRNA from 1 species